rnacentral:rRNA from 1 species
AACCUCCGCAAUGUGAGAAAUCGCGACGGGGGGAUCCCAAGUGCCAUUCUUAACGGGAUGGCUUUUCAUUAGUGUAAAGAGCUUUUGGAAUAAGGGCUGGGCAAGACCGGUGCCAGCCGCCGCGGUAACACCGGCAGCUCUAGUGGUAGCAGUUUUUAUUGGGCCUAAAGCGUCCGUAGCCGGUUUAAUAAGUCUCUGGUGAAAUCCUGUAGCUUAACUGUGGGAAUUGCUGGAGAUACUAUUAGACUUGAGACCGGGAGAGGUUAGAGGUACUCCCAGGGUAGAGGUGAAAUUCUGUAAUCCUGGGAGGACCGCCUGUUGCGAAGGCGUCUAACUGGAACGGUUCUGACGGUGAGGGACGAAAGUUAGGGGCGCGAACCGGAUUAGAUACCCGGGUAGUCCUAACUGUAAACGAUGCGGACUUGGUGUUGGGGUGACUUUGAGCUGCUCCAGUGCCGAAGGGAAGCUGUUAAGUCCGCCGCCUGGGAAGUACGGUCGCAAGACUGAAACUUAAAGGAAUU